CAGGCUUGGCGGACAGGCCUACACAUGCAAGUCGAGCGGAUGAGACGUACAUUGCUCCUCUAUUCAGCGGCGGACGGGUGAGUAAUGCCUAUGAAUCUGCCUAGUAGUGGGGGACAACGUUUCGAAAGGAACGCUAAUACCGCAUACGUCCUACGGGAGAAAGUGGGGGAUCUUCGGACCUCACGCUAUUAGAUGAGCCUAGGUCGGAUUAGCUAGUUGGUAGGGUAAAGGCCUACCAAGGCGACGAUCCGUAACUGGUCUGAGAGGAUGAUCAGUCACACUGGAACUGAGACACGGUCCAGACUCCUACGGGAGGCAGCAGUGGGGAAUAUUGAACAAUGGGCGAAAGCCUGAUCCAUCCAUGCCGCGUGUGUGAAUAAGGCCUUCGGGUCGUAAAGCACUUUAAGUUGGGAGGAAGGGCUCAUAGCGAAUACUUGUG
rnacentral:rRNA from 1 species